CUGUGUAUGGCAGGGGGCGGAGGCAGGGAGAAGGAGUGAGAGAGUGCUCUGGUGUCUCUUCUAAUAAAGACACCAAUCCUAUUGGAUCAGUGUUGCACCCUUACAAUCUCAUUUAAACUUAAUUACUUCCAUAUAAGUCUCAUCUCCAAAUACAGCCACACUGAGGGUUAAGGAUUCUACAUAUGAAUUUUGAGAGGCAAAAACUCUCAGUCUACAACACUAGUUUUUUUUUUUUUUUUUAAUUUUGUAGAUUGUUCUUUUGGUGUCCUAUUUAAAAAAUUAUUUCCUAACCCAAGGUCACAAAAGUUUCCUUCUGUAUUUUAUUGUUUUAGAUUUUACAUUUAGGUCUAUGAUCCAUUUUGAUUUAAUUUUCAUAUCUCUGUGAGCCUUGCUCAACUCAAAUAUGGGUUCUAAGAGUGAUUUUGAAGGUUCUACCAGAUUUUCUACAUAGACGAUCAUGUUAUCUAUUCUCUAUACAGGCUGACCCCUAUGGCCUACUAAGAAUGAAUAAUUAAAACUCUAGGAAUCCCAGGGUUUGUUGGAGUUCAGGGUUGUCGCUGAGUGGUGGAAAUAUUGUUCUCAACCAAAAAAAAAAAAAAAAAUGUGGGGAUUACAUGCCAGUACCAUCCACCCCUGCAUUAGAAGUUUUCAUCGAAGAGCUUCAUUUCACAAGCUUUCAGCGUUGAUCUCACCUCCUCGAAGAUGACACAUCUGAUCCCUCUGUCUAAAAUCUCAUUAAGCCUUGAACAUAUUAUGAUGAAUAAAAAUGUUAAGGGACAUCAUGAAGCUCAUUCUAGCCACAACUCUUCAAACUGCACCAUGGAUCAUUUUUGAAAGGUAAUAACAUCUUUAACAUUAAGAAAUCUCAAGUUUUCCAUUUGAGAAAUCUUCUGGAUUCUGCAUUCCAGUGGUUCCACUGAAGCCAGUAGGGCUGAAUACCCCAUGUAGGAACAGACUCAGCACAAGAAUGUAGGUUCUACAUUCUUAUCAUUUCAUUCCCCAUGCCCUAACCAAUCAGUGAUCCCAAUUCCUCAGCCCACUAUUCUCCAAAAUUUCCUUAAAUAUGCCCAUCCAAAACCCCUCAGGGAAGCAGAUUUGAGGUUCCCUUCAGUUCCCUUCUUUGGUUGCCCUAUGAUUAUUAAACUAUUUCUCUACUGCAACUCUUGCUGUUUCAG
rnacentral:lncRNA from 1 species